UUCCGGUUGAUCCUGCCGGACCCGACUGCUAUCAGAGUGGGACUAAGCCAUGCGAGUCGACGUAGCAAUGCGUGGCGAACGGCUCAGUAACACGUAGUCAACAUGCCCAGGGGACGUGGAUAACCUCGGGAAACUGAGAAUAAACCACGAUAGGUCACGAUUUCUGGAAUGGAUCAUGGCCUGAAUCUACAUGGCCCCUGGAUUGGACUGCGGCCGAUCAGGCUGUUGGUGAGGUAAUGGCCCACCAAACCUAUAACCGGUACGGGCUCUGAGAGGAGAAGCCCGGAGAUGGGCACUGAGACAAGGGCCCAGGCCCUAUGGGGCGCAGCAGGCGCGAAACCUCUGCAAUAGGCGAAAGCCUGACAGGGUUACUCUGAGUGAUUUCCGCUAAGGGGAUCUUUUGGCACCUCUAAAAAUGGUGCAGAAUAAGGGGUGGGCAAGUCUAGUGUCAGCCGCCGCGGUAAUACCAGCACCCCGAGUGGUCGGGACGAUUAUUGGGCCUGAAGCAUCCGUAGCCGGUUCUGCAAGUCUUCCGUUAAAUCCAGCCGCUCAACGGAUGGGCCGCGGAGGAUACUACGGGACUGGGAGGCGGGAGAGGCAAGCGGUACUCAGUGGGUAGGGGUAAAAUCCUUAGAUCCAUUGAAGACCACCAGUGGCGAAGGCGGCUUGCCAGAACGCGCUCGACGGUGAGGGAUGAAAGCUGGGGGAGCAAACCGGAUUAGAUACCCGGGUAGUCCCAG
rnacentral:rRNA from 1 species